UACGUAGGGUGCGAGCGUUAAUCGGAAUUACUGGGCGUAAAGCGUGCGCAGGCGGUUUGGUAAGACAGGCGUGAAAUCCCCGGGCUCAACCUGGGAACUGCGCUUGUGACUGCCUCACUAGAGUACGGCAGAGGGGGGUGGAAUUCCACGUGUAGCAGUGAAAUGCGUAGAUAUGCGGAGGAACACCGAUGGCGAAGGCAAUCCCUGGACCUGUACUGACGCUCAUGCACGAAAGCGUGGGGAGCAAACAGGAUUAGAAACCCCAGUAGU
rnacentral:rRNA from 1 species